rnacentral:rRNA from 1 species
GCAUCGAUGAAGAACGCAGCGAAAUGCGAUAAGUAAUGUGAAUUGCAGAAUUCAGUGAAUCAUCGAAUCUUUGAACGCACAUUGCGCCCCCUGGUAUUCCGGGGGGCAUGCCUGUUCGAGCGUCAUUUCACCACUCAAGCCUCGCUUGGUAUCGGGCAACGCGGUCCGCCGCGUGCCUCAAAUCGACCGGCUGGGUCUUCUGUCCCCUAAGCGUUGUGGAAACUAUUCGCUAAAGGGUGUUCGGGAGGCUACGCCGUAAAACAACCCCAUUUCUAAGGUUGACCUCGGAUCAGGUAGGGAUACCCGCUGAACUUAAGCAUAUCAAUAAGCGGAGGA